UCUUCCUCAAUUCAAGUAAAUCCAAAGCAGAUAACGUGAAUCAAAUUCGUUCAUCGAUUGAAAAUCCUUUUUGUACCCAAUUCAGGGUUAAGAAGAAUGGAUAUUCCUACAACAGGUUCACCUCCACGCCUUAAACGAAACUCAAAUGAUGUAGGAUGGGAUUAUGGAGUUUUGUGUGAUGCACGAUUUCCUGACAAAGUAAAAUGUAUACUGUGUGGAAAAGAGUUCUCUGGUGGUAUUUACAGAAUGAAGGAACACAUUGGUCAUUGUGAGACCAGGAGCUACAAGGUUUGCAACAUGUUUUUUGACACUUAAUAGUCUAUAUGAGAAGAAGGCACAACUGAGAAACAUGUUUAAUAGUGAUGAAUGGCAUGAUUGCAAGCAUUCCAAGAGUGCAAAGGGGAAGCUAGCGUCUGAUACUGUGAUGAGUUGUUCAUUUUGGAACAAUGUUAUGGCUGUUUUGAAAGUAUUUAGCCCAAUGGUGAAGGUUCUGAGACUUGCUGAUGGAGAGAAAAUUCCUUCUCUUGGUUUUAUUUAUGGAGAGCUCUUAGUAGCUAAAAAUUCUAUCAAAGAAGCUACUGACCAUUUGGAGAAGAACUACCAACCUAUCUUUAGGAUCAUUGAUGAGAAGAUGAAAGGUAGGAUAGAUUCUCCUUUGCAUAUGGCUGCUUACUUCCUCAAUCCAUUUUACUUCUACAAAGACCCCAAUAUUCAGUGUGACUUGGAGGUUAUGGAUAGAUUCAUCUAGUGUGUGGAGACAUUCUAUCAUGGUGAUUUUGAAAAGCAAGAUGCAGUUGUUAAUCGUGAAGUUCAUCUAUACAAGAGUAGAAGUGCCUCUUUGGUAGAAACCUAGCAAUGAAAGGCUGUGAAGAGAAGGAAAACUUUGAUCCAUGUUUAUUUUUUUUUAUAACUAUUUUCACUUAGAAAGUAUACUUUACAUAAGAUGACUUUACCUUUCUCUCAUUCAACUUUUUAUUCUCAGGAAAUUGAUGGUCUACAUAUGGAUGUGCUACACCACAUUUGCAAAAAGUUAGCAACACGUAUCAUUGCUUUGACAUCUAGUUCUUCUGGCUGUGAAAGAAACUGGAGCAGUUUCGAAGCA